GGAAUAUCUAGAAUUCUCUUCAUAUUUUCUGCACUCUCAUCAGCCAAAAACAUCCUAAGGGUUUCUUCAAGCUAUUUUUUCAUAAUUUUUGCACCAAAAAGUUCAAAUACGAAGCUAGAUCGAGGAAAAGAAAAAGUUCGGGAUUAGUAGAUUUUUUGUUUACGAACAAUUAUCGAGAGUUAAGAGCUCGGAGGUCGGAUUUGGUCAGAGACACAUCACACCAUCAACCUCAAGAUCUCGGUACAUAAAGAAACUUUAUUUUGGAAAUCAAUGGCAUGUAUAAGCUAGUAAAGUAGAUGUUAAUAUGGAAUGAAUGUAUGGUUAGCCAUUAAUAUGGCUAACAAAUUUUGGUUUUGGUAUGUGAUAAGAUUAUCUUAUGAAUACAGUAAAUCUAUCUUGAAAAUAUUUUGAAAUGGAUUGGUUGUGUUGGAUUGGUCUCAGUUUUAAAAUUUUAGGGAAGAGUAGAUAUUUAUAAACGGGUUAUAUUGAGUUAAAAAAAAUUUAUUCAGUAAAAUCUGGUAAUACCUCGUAUCCUAUUCCGGCGACGGAUACGGGUAGGGGUGUUACAUAUUGACAUUAUUAAUAAUUAAAAUAAAUUUGAUUAAAUUUGUAUAGUAUAAUACAAAAAAUUAA